UUAAGCGACUAAGCGUACACGGUGGAUGCCCUGGCAGUCAGAGGCGAUGAAGGACGUGCUAAUCUGCGAAAAGCGCCGGCGAGGUGAUAUGAACCCUUGACCCGGCGAUGUCCGAAUGGGGAAACCCAGUGUGAUUCGUCACACUAUCGUUAACUGAAUACAUAGGUUAACGAGGCGAACCGGGGGAACUGAAACAUCUAAGUACCCCGAGGAAAAGAAAUCAACCGAGAUUCCCCCAGUAGCGGCGAGCGAACGGGGAGCAGCCCGGAGUCUGAAUCAGCUUGUGUGUUAGUGGAACGGUCUGGAAAGUCCGACGGUACAGGGUGAUAGUCCCGUACACGAAAGCACACUUGCUGUGAACUCGAAGAGUAGGGCGGGACACGUGGUAUCCUGUCUGAAUAUGGGGGGACCAUCCUCCAAGGCUAAAUACUCCUGACUGACCGAUAGUGAACCAGUACCGUGAGGGAAAGGCGAAAAGAACCCCGGCGAGGGGAGUGAAAAAGAACCUGAAACCGUGUACGUACAAGCAGUGGGAGCACCUUCGUGGUGUGACUGCGUACCUUUUGUAUAAUGGGUCAGCGACUUAUAUUCUGUAGCAAGGUUAACCGUAUAGGGGAGCCGAAGGGAAACCGAGUCUUAACUGGGCGUUAAGUUGCAGGGUAUAGACCCGAAACCCGGUGAUCUAGCCAUGGGCAGGUUGAAGGUUGGGUAACACUAACUGGAGGACCGAACCGACUAAUGUUGAAAAAUUAGCGGAUGACCUGUGGCUGGGGGUGAAAGGCCAAUCAAACCGGGAGAUAGCUGGUUCUCCCCGAAAGCUAUUUAGGUAGCGCCUCGUGAACUCAUCUUCGGGGGUAGAGCACUGUUUCGGCUAGGGGGCCAUCCCGGCUUACCAACCCGAUGCAAACUACGAAUACCGAAGAAUGUUAUCACGGGAGACACACGGCGGGUGCUAACGUCCGUCGUGAAGAGGGAAACAACCCAGACCGCCAGCUAAGGUCCCAAAGUCAUGGUUAAGUGGGAAACGAUGUGGGAAGGCACAGACAGCCAGGAUGUUGGCUUAGAAGCAGCCAUCAUUUAAAGAAAGCGUAAUAGCUCACUGGUCGAGUCGGCCUGCGCGGAAGAUGUAACGGGGCUAAACCAUGCACCGAAGCUGCGGCAGCGACACUAUGUGUUGUUGGGUAGGGGAGCGUUCUGUAAGCCGUUGAAGGUGUGCUGUGAGGCAUGCUGGAGGUAUCAGAAGUGCGAAUGCUGACAUAAGUAACGAUAAAGCGGGUGAAAAGCCCGCUCGCCGGAAGACCAAGGGUUCCUGUCCAACGUUAAUCGGGGCAGGGUGAGUCGACCCCUAAGGCGAGGCCGAAAGGCGUAGUCGAUGGGAAACAGGUUAAUAUUCCUGUACUUGGUGUUACUGCGAAGGGGGGACGGAGAAGGCUAUGUCAGCCGGGCGACGGUUGUCCCGGUUUAAGCAUGUAGGCGGAGGUUCCAGGUAAAUCCGGUACCUUAUUAACGCUGAGGUGUGAUGACGAGGCACUACGGUGCUGAAGUGAUAAAUGCCCUGCUUCCAGGAAAAGCCUCUAAGCAUCAGGUAACACGAAAUCGUACCCCAAACCGACACAGGUGGUCAGGUAGAGAAUACCAAGGCGCUUGAGAGAACUCGGGUGAAGGAACUAGGCAAAAUGGUGCCGUAACUUCGGGAGAAGGCACGCUGAUGUGUAGGUGAAGUCCCUGCGGACGGAGCUGAAAUCAGUCGAAGAUACCAGCUGGCUGCAACUGUUUAUUAAAAACACAGCACUGUGCAAACACGAAAGUGGACGUAUACGGUGUGACGCCUGCCCGGUGCCGGAAGGUUAAUUGAUGGGGUUAGCUGUAAGGCGAAGCUCUUGAUCGAAGCCCCGGUAAACGGCGGCCGUAACUAUAACGGUCCUAAGGUAGCGAAAUUCCUUGUCGGGUAAGUUCCGACCUGCACGAAUGGCGUAAUGAUGGCCAGGCUGUCUCCACCCGAGACUCAGUGAAAUUGAACUCGCUGUGAAGAUGCAGUGUACCCGCGGCAAGACGGAAAGACCCCGUGAACCUUUACUAUAGCUUGACACUGAACACUGGUCCUUGAUGUGUAGGAUAGGUGGGAGGCUUUGAAGCGUGGACGCCAGUCUGCGUGGAGCCGCCCUUGAAAUACCACCCUUUAAUGGCUGGUGUUCUAACGUAGACCCGUAAUCCGGGUUGCGGACAGUGUCUGGUGGGUAGUUUGACUGGGGCGGUCUCCUCCCAAAGAGUAACGGAGGAGCACGAAGGUUGGCUAAUCCUGGUCGGACAUCAGGAGGUUAGUGCAAUGGCAUAAGCCAGCUUGACUGCGAGCGUGACGGCGCGAGCAGGUGCGAAAGCAGGUCAUAGUGAUCCGGUGGUUCUGAAUGGAAGGGCCAUCGCUCAACGGAUAAAAGGUACUCCGGGGAUAACAGGCUGAUACCGCCCAAGAGUUCAUAUCGACGGCGGUGUUUGGCACCUCGAUGUCGGCUCAUCACAUCCUGGGGCUGAAGUAGGUCCCAAGGGUAUGGCUGUUCGCCAUUUAAAGUGGUACGCGAGCUGGGUUUAGAACGUCGUGAGACAGUUCGGUCCCUAUCUGCCGUGGGCGCUGGAGAAUUGAGGGGGGCUGCUCCUAGUACGAGAGGACCGGAGUGGACGCAUCACUGGUGUUCGGGUUGUCAUGCCAAUGGCACUGCCCGGUAGCUAAAUGCGGAAGAGAUAAGUGCUGAAAGCAUCUAAGCACGAAACUUGCCCCGAGAUGAGUUCUCCCUGAGACUUUAAGUCUCCUGAAGGAACGUUGAAGACGACGACGUUGAUAGGUCGGGUGUGUAAGCGCAGCGAUGCGUUGAGCUAACCGAUACUAAUGAACCGUGAGGCUUAACCUU
rnacentral:rRNA from 3 species